CCUACGGGAGGCUGCAGUGAGGAAUAUUGGUCAAUGGGCGCGAGCCUGAACCAGCCAAGUAGCGUGAAGGAUGACUGCCCUACGGGUUGUAAACUGCUUUUAUGAAGGAAUAAAGUGAGGCACGUGUGGCUUUUUGUAGGUACUUCAUGAAUAAGGAUCGGCUAACUCCGUGCCAGCAGCCGCGGUAAUACGGAGGGUCCGGGCGUUAUCCGGAUUUAUUGGGUUUAAAGGGAGCGCAGAGGGGCUGUUAAGCGUGUUGUGAAAUUCUGCGGCUCAACCGUAAAAUUGCAGCUGAUACUGGGAGUCUUGAGUACAGCUGAGGUAGGCGGAAUUCGUGGUGUAGCGGUGAAAUGCUUAGAUAUCACGAAGAACUCCGAUUGCGAAGGCAGCUUACUAUAUCGUUACUGACACUGAUGCUCGAAAGUGCGGGUAUCAAACAGGAUUAGAUACCCGAGUAGUC
rnacentral:rRNA from 1 species